GAUGAACGCUAGCGGCAGGCCUAACACAUGCAAGUCGAGGGAGAAGCCCUUUCGGGGGCCGAAACCGGCGCACGGGUGCGUAACGCGUAUGCAACCUACCUUUCACAGGGGGAUAGCCCGAAGAAAUUUGGAUUAAUACCCCAUAAUAUUAUUGGAUGGCAUCAUUUGAUAAUUAAAACUGCGGUGGUGAAAGAUGGGCAUGCGUCCUAUUAGCUAGUUGGAGUGGUAACGGCACCCCAAGGCUACGAUAGGUAGGGGUCCUGAGAGGGAGAUCCCCCACACUGGUACUGAGACAGGGACCAGACUCCUACGGGAGGCAGCAGUGAGGAAUAUUGGGCAAGGGUCGGAAGACUGAACCAGCCAUGCCGCGUGCAGGAAGAAUGCCUUAUGGGUUGUAAACUGCUUUUAUAUGGGAAGAAUAAGGCGUACGUGUACGUUGAUGACGGUACCAUAUGAAUAAGCAUCGGCUAACUCCGUG
rnacentral:rRNA from 1 species